rnacentral:rRNA from 1 species
GGAGAAGCAGGGGAUCGCAAGACCUUGCGCUUUUGGAGCGGCCGAUGCCUGAUUAGCUUGUUGGUGAGGUAAAAGCUCACCAAGGCUUCGAUCAGUAGCUGGUCUGAGAGGACGACCAGCCACACUGGGACUGAGACACGGCCCAGACUCCUACGGGAGGCAGCAGUGGGGAAUUUUGGACAAUGGGGGCAACCCUGAUCCAGCCAUGCCGCGUGAGUGAAGAAGGCCUUCGGGUUGUAAAGCUCUUUCAGCCGGAACGAAACGGUUACGGUUAAUACCCGUGACUACUGACGGUACCGGAAGAAGAAGCACCGGCUAACUACGUGCCAGCAGCCGCGGUAAUACGUAGGGUGCAAGCGUUAAUCGGAAUUACUGGGCGUAAAGCGUGCGCAGGUGGUUUUGUAAGUCAGAUGUGAAAUCCCCGGGCUUAACCUGGGGACUGCGUUUGAAACUACAAAGCUAG